rnacentral:lncRNA from 1 species
UCAGCAGGAUGUGGGUAGGGCCAGACAAGAGAAUAAAAGCAGGCUGCCGGAGCUGGCAGUAGCAAUUGGCUGGGGUGUUUUUCCGCUCUGUGGGAGAUUUGUUCUUUCGCUUUUUGGGUCCACGCUGCGUUUGUGAGCUGUAACACCGUGAAGGUCUGCAGCUUCACUCCUGAAGUCAGGCGAGAAGACUACGAACCCACCUGGAGGAACGAACAACUCCAGACUCGCCGCAUUAAGAGCGGUAACACCGCGAAGGUCUGCAGCUUCACUCCUGAGCCAGCGAGAUCACGAACCCACCGGAAGGCUGUAACAUAUCUGAACAUCAGAAGGAACAAACUCCGGACAGGCCGCCUUCAGGAACUGUAACACUCACCGCGAGGGUCCGUAGCUUCAUUCUUGAAGUCAGUGAGACCAAGAGCCCACCAAUUCCGGACACAACAGGACACACUGCGGCUUCUCCUGGCUUUUUCAAAGUUCAGCCCAAGAGGAAGAGAGACCUAAUUAAUACCCAGGAGAUGGUGGUGUUUAUUUUUUCCAGCUGGGACAACUAAGGCCCCGAGAGGAGAAAGGGACUAUCCGGGGUACAGAGGCCACUGAGUCAGAGCUAGGACCAACAUAUCACCAGCUCUCCCUCUUCAGCGCAGACCCCAACUCACCAGCGGUGGCUUCCUGAAGAGCUGGGUUAAGGAGGAUUCUGAGGUGCAGCAGAGCUCGCUAAGAGGCUGACGGGUAAGGGGUGCUGCGCUGUGAGCACAGGAGCCAGGGCCUCCUCUUCUCAUCAGCAGGCAGGGACAGUGCAUCGACCCAGAGGCCUGGGAGAGGCAGGAAUAAUGAUGCGCCAGAGAGAAUUCUGGCUUCGGGAGAAUCAGAGACUUAACAAAUAUAAUGCUGACAAUAUGACCAUUAUGACACAAGAAACUAUUUGUAUCCAUUGUCCUUUCCUCGCCUGAAAUAACCUAUUGCUUCCUACUCGGUGAUGACAUUUUUCAGGCACCAAGAGUUGCCCGUGGAACAAGAAGUACAUAAACUUCCUUGCUUUGUAGAAAACAGAUUCCGUUUUAUAAGUGGUUUAGUAUUUAGACACUACCUCCAAAGGUUGGGAAGGCCCUUACAAAGCAACAGGAGUCGGCCAGAAUGAAAAGAAUCAGCCGAUGGCUGGGAGGCGGAGGCUUCAGUGAGCCGAGAUCGCACCACUGCACUCCAGCCUGGGCGACAAAAGUGAGACUCCAUCUCAAAAAAAUAAAAAUAAAAAAAUAAAAAUAAAUAAAGGAAUGAUAGACUUGCCAAUCUGCCUUGGAGAAGCAACAGACGGCUAAAUCGUAGGGUUCCUGGCAUUGCAUUUGCCCACAUUUGCCAGCAGAUGGCGACGUGAUCCUGCAAUGUUGCAUUAGUGCAACCCCGGGCAAUGAAAGGUCAGGGACAGGGCACCUGAAGCUGGCUACUUGGAGACUUGGGAACCUCAUCUAUUGCUUUGCAGAGGUCCGAACACCACUAAACACAUUUGGGAGGGAGGAACAGAGGAAGGUCGACCAAUGACGUGUUUAAAACAGCUGCAAGGAUCGGAUGAAAUUUGCAAUUGGCUUGAGCUUGAACUCCAGAUAAUCUCCAGAAUAAAGACAUGGGGGUGGGAGUUAAAACAAAGAACUUGAUGCAAAUUAGGGUCAAACAAUGAUCCCCUUAUGGCACAUCCAUUCCAAGGAAUAUCUUCAGUCAUUAGAAAACCAAGUGGUGGUCUGAGCACGGUGGCUCAUGCCUGUAAUCCCAGGGCUUUGAGAGGCUGAGGCAGGCAGAUCACUUGAGGCUGAUUCAAAACCAGCCUGGCCAACAUGGCAAAACCCCAUCUUUACUAAAAACACAAAAAUUAGCCGGGCAUGGUGGCAUGCACCUGUAAUCCCAGCUACUCUGGAGGCUGAGGCAGGAGAAUCUCUUGAACCUCAGAGGCAGAGGUUGCAGUGAGCUGAGACCACACCACUGCACUCCAGCCUGGGUGACCCAGUGAGACUCUGUCUCAAAAAAAGAAAAAAAGAAAAAAAAAUUAGACAAAUUGAACUUCAUCAAAAUUAAACUUCUAUGCUUCCAAGAACGCCAUCAAAAAAGUGAAAAAAACCAACCACAGAAAGGGAGGAAAUAUUUGCAAAUCUGAUCUAGAAUAUAUAAAGAAUUCUAACAACUCAAAAAUGAAAAGACAUAAAAGCUAAUUUUAAAAUGGGCAAAGGAUUUAGAUACAUCUCUCUCCAGAGAAGAUACACAAAUGGCCAAUAAGCACAUGAAAAGAUGUUCAACAUCAUCAGCCAUCAGAGAUGUGCAAGUCAAAACCAUCCUGCGAUAGACCCCACUUUACAUCCACUAGGAUGGCUAUAAUUUUAAAAAGCAGACAAUGACAAGUGUUGGCAAGGAUGUGAUGAGAAAUUGGAAUCCUUGUACAUUGUGGGUGGAAAUGCAAAAUGGUAUAGCUGCUUUGGCAAACAGUCUAGUAGUUCCUCAAAAGGGGAAACACUGAUCAAAUUUGACCCAGCAAUUCCACUCUUUCAUAUCCCAAGAAAACUAAAAACAUAAUUCAUGUCCACGAAAAACUUGGACAUGAAUUUUAAAGCAGCAUUAUUGGCCAGGUGUAGUGGCUCACGCUUGUAAUUCUAGCACUUUGGGAGGCCAAGGCGGGCAGAUCAC